AGGUCCCCGCCCCCACAAAUUGCCAGAAGGAGUAUCUUGUGCCCAGUGCGUACCAGGUGAGUAUGAUGACCCAUACAACGGUCCAGCAGUCCAACAACGUUACGCUGGUGAUGGACGAGUACUGAUAGUUCCCCUGGACAUCGACGAAGGCCAGCGCCAAGUACCAGUACCAAGGUAUCUGCAAGACAGGAGUGGCGUAGAGAGUGAGGAGGCGUGUGAAACUAAAACCACACAAGGUAAGUUUCAUGCUCACCCGUGGCUUCUGCCGUCGGUGCAAGAGGAUCGGCACAUAAAUCAGAGUCAACAGGAGGUAGGCGAAGAAGGAUUGUGUGAGAGGUGUGUUAACUCCUGCAUAAUAUACAUGCGAUGGGUGAUUCGUAAUUGAGUGUUCUACAAAGAUUCACAGGUACUGGGGGAAAUGAUAAUUUGGAUGGUUAGGCUACAGAGACAGUGAGAAGGGCGGGUACCGAGAUUGGCGAGGAAGGAGGAGGCGAAGCUGGCGGCGGCCAUGGAGAAGGCCACGAGCUGGCCGAGGAAGAGCACCAGCGCCAGGCCCCAUGCGUCCUUGGCCUUGGUCUCCAUGGGUCUCUCCCUGUCUGACCACCAAGCCUCGGUCAGAUUCGCGGAGAUGCAGGGGAGAGAUAAUAUACGGUUCGAGCCGGCCGGAGCAGAGGAGGAGACUGGACGGGUAGCUGGCUCGCUGGGCUCGUGCAGUAAACUAUGGUUAGCUGAGUGUGGCAUGCCCAUUUUUCAAUCAACAAAAAAAGGAAAGCUGAGAGCAGCUUGUGACCGCUACAUUGAUUAUGUUUUCUUCUUCCUGCUGUGCCACGCGCCUGGAUAUGAUAAUUGAUUAUGUGAUCGGA